rnacentral:pre_miRNA from 2 species
UGAGGUAGUAGGUUGUAUAGUUUUAGGGUUACACCCUUCCGGUCAGAUAACUAUACAAUCUACUGUCUUUC